AUGAAAAAGACUGAAGGGGCUCGGACGAAACCGAGUCGGCACCCUCCACAUAAAACUUGCAAUGCUAAAAAGCAAAUAUUUGAUAUAUCUGCGCAGACUAACCUUGUCUUUUGCACGAUCAUCGCUACGGGGAACCCCCUCCUCGCCCGGAGGCUCGGAGGCUACACGCGGGUUGCAGGCCCGACGCCGGCUGCAACUGGCGUUUCUGAUGCCACCGUCCGCUUCAUCAACAGCAAGACCCUCCGCAACUUUUCCAAGUUGCCUAGAGCUCGGAGGCUACACCCAGUAGGUGCGCUCGCGCGCCCCCACUCAGCCGGCGGAUUCCGUGUCCGCGCCCGGCACCCUCGGCGUCAUCGUCGGCUUCUUCAUCAACAGCAAGACCCUCCGCGCAACUUUUCCAAGUUGCCCGGAGGUUUGGAGGCUACACCAGUGGGUGCACUCGCGCGCCCCACUCAGCCGGCGGAUUCCGUGUCCGCGCCCGGCACCUUCGACGUCAUCGUCGUCUUCUUCAUCAACAACAAGACCCUCCGCGCAAUUUUUCCAAGUUGCCCGGAGGCUCGGAGGCUACACCCAAUGGGUGCGCUCGCGCACCCCCACUCAGCCGGGGACUCCGUGUCCGCACCCAGCCCCCUCGACGUCAUCGUCGGCUUCUUCAUCAACACCAAGACCCUCCGCCCAACUUUUCCAAGUUGCCCGGAGGCUCGGAGGCUGCACCCAGUGGUAGCGCUCGCGUGCCCCCACUCGGAACACGUCGCGCCUAUUGCACGCCCGCCGCCGGCUGCAACCGGCAUCUUCGUCGCCAUUUACUGCUUCAUCGACGCCCGCUAA
rnacentral:rRNA from 1 species